rnacentral:rRNA from 1 species
AACGAACGCUGGCGGCAUGCCUAACACAUGCAAGUCGAACGAGACCUCCGGGCUUGGUGGCGCACGGGUGCGUAAAGCGUGGGAACAUGCCCUUAGGAUCGGAAUAACUCCCCGAAAGGGGUGCUAAUACCGGAGAAUGUCUUCGGACCAAAGCUUUUCGGCUUGGGAUGGGCCCGCGGUUGAUUUGCUAGUUGGUGGGGUAAAAGCCUACCAAGGCGACGAUCCGUUGCUGGUCUGAGAGGAGGAUCAGCCACACUGGGACUGAGACACGGCCCAGACACCUACGGGAAGCAGCAGUGGGGAAUAUUGGACAAUGGGCGAGAGCCUGAUCCAGCAAUGCCGCGUGAGUGAUGAAGGCCUUAGGGUUGUAAAGCUCUUUUACCCGGGAUGAUAAUGACAGUACCUGGAGAAUAAGCUCCGGCUAACUCCGUG